rnacentral:rRNA from 1 species
AUUGAACGCUGGCGGCAGGCUAAACACAUGCAAGUCGAGCGGGGGAAGGUAGCUUGCUACCGGACCUAGCGGCGGACGGGUGAGUAAUGCUUAGGAAUCUGCCUAUUAGUGGGGGACAACAUCUCGAAAGGGAUGCUAAUACCGCAUACGUCCUACGGGAGAAAGCAGGGGAUCUUCGGACCUUGCGCUAAUAGAUGAGCCUAAGUCGGAUUAGCUAGUUGGUGGGGUAAAGGCCUACCAAGGCGACGAUCUGUAGCGGGUCUGAGAGGAUGAUCCGCCACACUGGGACUGAGACACGGCCCGGACUCCUACGGGAGGCAGCAGUGGGGAAUAUUGGACAAUGGGGGGAACCCUGAUCCAGCCAUGCCGCGUGUGUGAAGAAGGCCUUAUGGUUGUAAAGCACUUUAAGCGAGGAGGAGGCUACUCUAGUUAAUACCUAGGGAUAGUGGACGUUACUCGCAGAAUAAGCACCGGCUAACUCUGUGCCAGCCGCCGCUGUAA